GGAAGUACCUCUGCCCUGGGCUUUCAUUGGCUCAACUCCGCCACCAUUGGGCGCAUUGCCCUCUGGGUAGUGUAGUUCCCACAGCUGCGCAGGAGGACAUUCCCGGAGUCCACCUUGGCCAAGAAACGUUCUGCGCAGCACGGAGAAAUAUAACCAUUAUUUUGUAAUAACUUUAAAUGAAGUACACGCUAUAAAAAUAUUGAAUCAGAGACCCCUGGCGGUCUAGUAGUUAAGACUCCGCGCUUCCACUGCAGGUAGACAUUAACUGCUCUGGGACAUCCAAGGAAUGGGGAAACGAUCACGGAAAUAAAUCCAACAAUAACAGCAGCAGCAGCUGAGUCUCCAUGAACCUCAAUGUGCACCUGCCCCGGGCUGAAGGCUUCAAGUGCCAUGAUAAAGGGACUGUCCCCAGUUCGGCAGCUAGACUCCCAGGUUUGAAUCCAGCCUCUUGAAUCUGAUACUUUCUGUGGUGUGACCUUGGGGGACCCACUUCAUCUUUGUGAUCCUGGAUUUCUCCAGCAAUACAGUAAUAGCUCCCAAUACCCAGAGUGCUGUGAAAAUUAAAAAGAAAUUCUCAAAAUGCAAAUCCUGGAAUUCUGGUACCAGUACAGGCUGUAUUUUGUUGCUUUGACUGACCGUCACAGAGGCUACGGUGAACAUCUUCAUCACCUCCCUGUCACAGUCAGUGAAGUAAAUCUUGGGGACCUCUAGAGUGGCCCACAGAUUCCCUGGGAUUCCACAAUGAGACCUCAGUAACCUGAAGACACGUUUUCCAGUGGACCAGAGUGUUCUAGGAAGCCCCAUUUGUUUCUCACAAGCACCUGGGAACAGAAGGGCCCAGAGGUAUAUGGCUUGGGGAUAUCACCUGCAGGUGUGGCUGGUGGUGUAGCCACUGCAUACAGAACGGGCACCUCAGCUCCUCCAAAGGCCUGGGCACAGGGCUGCUCUUUAUCCCCAUUUUACACAGGAGACAACCCAGAUAGUGGAUUGUUUUGCCUGUUGUCUCAGUGAUGGCUGGUGACGAGAUUUAAACCCACAUUGUAUGGGCCACGUUUGGGGAGUCUGAUCACUGACCUAUUCUUUGGCUUCCAGAAGGGCUUCAGAAUGUCUGUCCUAAUACCACCUGGUCCACCUUUUUUUUUUUUUUUUUUGUCUGCAUUGAGUCUUUGUUGCUGCGCACAGGCUUUCUCUAGUUGCAGCAGGCAGGGGCUACUCUUCGUUGUGGGCGCAGGCUUCUCAUUGCAGUGGCUUCUCUUGUUGCAGAGCACGGGCUCUAGCGUGCAGGCUCAGUAGUUGUGGCAUGCGGGCUUAGUUGCUCUGGGGCAUAUGAGAUCUUCCCGGGCCAGGGCUUGAACCUAUGUCCCCUGCAUUGGCAGGCGGAUUCUUAACCACUGUGCCACCAGGGAAGUCCCACACCUGGUCCACCUUAAAGUCCUGCUCCAACCCACCAAUCCCCAAGAUAGACCAGGAAAAUGGGUGAAAACUACAAAGCAGGGCUUUAUUAUAUUAUUAAAUGUCUAACUUAGGAAAGUGAUGAAGUGUGUUAAUAAUGCAGAUAAAUCUAUAAUGCAAAUUAAUUGUGUAUGAUAAAUAUGAACAUUACAUUGUGUAUAGCAUACAAAUUUGCAAAAUUUAAUUUAUUUUAUUUAUUUGGCUGCGUCGGGUCUUAGUUGUGGCAUGUGGUAUUUUAGUUACGGCAUGCAGGAUCUUUCAUUGCAGUGCGUGGGCUUCUCUCUAGUUGUGGUGCGCAAGCUCUAGAGCACGCAGGCUUAAUUGCCCCAGUGCAUGUGGGAUCUUAGUUCCCCAACCAGGGAUCGAACCCAUGUCCCCUGCAUUGGAAGGCAGAUUCUUAACCACUGGACCACCAGGAAAGUCCCCAAAUUUGCAAAAAUUAAGAAAUAUUUUUCCGGAAUUGAAAACAAUUAUUCCAUAAAGCAAAAGAAUCACUUAUGUUAUUCAAGGAGUAAAACGGGUAAAAUUCCAAUAUAUCUUUGUUAUUUCACUGUCCUAUUUGUGAAAAGGAAAUAGCCCUAACUCAUAAAGGAAAACAGCCUAAAUGAUAUGAGCACACACUUUACCAAAGACAUACAGAUAGCAUAUACACAUCCGAAAAAAUGCUCAUCAUGAAUCCUUAAGGAAAUCCAAUUAAACCAACACUGAGAUAGCAUGACAAACUUAUUAAAAGGGCUAAAAUUGGGGACUUCCCUGGUGGCAGAGUGGAUAAGACUGCAUUCCCAAUGCAGGGGGCCCGGGUUCGAUCCCUAGUCAGGGAACUAGAUCCCACAUGCAUGCCACAACUAAGAGUUCACAUGCCACAACUAAGGCGCCUACCUGGCACAACUAAGACCUGGCACAACCAAAUAAAUAAAUAAAUAUUUUUUAAAAAGGAGGGCUGGGCUUCCCUGGUGGCGCAGUGGUUGAGAGUCUGCCUGCCGAUACAGGGGACGUGGGUUCAUGCCCUGGUCCGGGAGGAUCCCACAUGCCGCGGAGCGGCUGGGCCCGUGAAUCAUGGCUGCUGAGCCUGCGCAUCCGGAGCCUGUGCUCCACAAUGGGAGAGACCAGAACAGUGAGAGGCCCGCGUACCGCAAAAAAAAAAAAUAAUAAUAAUAAAUAAAUAAAUAAAAAUAAAUUUUAAAA